UUAAGCGACCAAGCGUACACGGUGGAUGCCCUGGCAGUCAGAGGCGAUGAAGGGCGUGCUAAUCUGCGAUAAGCGCCGGUAAGGUGAUAUGAACCGUUAUAACCGGCGAUACCCGAAUGGGGAAACCCAGUGUGAUUCGUCACACUAUCAUUAACUGAAUCCAUAGGUUAAUGAGGCGAACCGGGGGAACUGAAACAUCUAAGUACCCCGAGGAAAAGAAAUCAACCGAGAUUCCCCCAGUAGCGGCGAGCGAACGGGGAGGAGCCCAGAGCCUGAAUCAGCAUGUGUGUUAGUGGAAGCGUCUGGAAAGGCGCGCGAUACAGGGUGACAGCCCCGUACACAAAAGCGCACGUGCUGUGAGCUCGAUGAGUAGGGCGGGACACGUGGUAUCCUGUCUGAAUAUGGGGGGACCAUCCUCCAAGGCUAAAUACUCCUGACUGACCGAUAGUGAACCAGUACCGUGAGGGAAAGGCGAAAAGAACCCCGGCGAGGGGAGUGAAACAGAACCUGAAACCGUGUACGUACAAGCAGUGGGAGCCCCACCACUAAGCCAGUGGUGAGAACCCAUGACGCAUCCUUUGCUGAGGAUACGGUUAACGGAGCGAAAGCGACGUUCAACCGCAAAAGAAGCAGAGGGGGCUUAGUGGUGGGGUGACUGCGUACCUUUUGUAUAAUGGGUCAGCGACUUAUAUUCUGUAGCAAGGUUAACCGAAUAGGGGAGCCGGAGGGAAACCGAGUCUUAAUUGGGCGUUAAGUUGCAGGGUAUAGACCCGAAACCCGGUGAUCUAGCCAUGGGCAGGUUGAAGGUUGGGUAACACUAACUGGAGGACCGAACCGACUAAUGUUGAAAAAUUAGCGGAUGACCUGUGGCUGGGGUGAAAGGCCAAUCAAACCGGGAGAUAGCUGGUUCUCCCCGAAAGCUAUUUAGGUAGCGCCUCGUGAAUUCAUCUCCGGGGUAGAGCACUGUUUCGGCUAGGGGGCCAUCCCGGCUUACCAACCCGAUGCAAACUGCGAAUACCGGAGAAUGUUAUCACGGGAGACACACGGCGGGUGCUAACGUCCGUCGUGAAGAGGGAAACAACCCAGACCGCCAGCUAAGGUCCCAAAGUCAUGGUUAAGUGGGAAACGAUGUGGGAAGGCCCAGACAGCCAGGAUGUUGGCUUAGAAGCAGCCAUCAUUUAAAGAAAGCGUAAUAGCUCACUGGUCGAGUCGGCCUGCGCGGAAGAUGUAACGGGGCUAAACCAUGCACCGAAGCUGCGGCAGCGACACUUAAGUGUUGUUGGGUAGGGGAGCGUUCUGUAAGCCUGUGAAGGUGGCCUGUGAGGGUUGCUGGAGGUAUCAGAAGUGCGAAUGCUGACAUAAGUAACGAUAAAGCGGGUGAAAAGCCCGCUCGCCGGAAGACCAAGGGUUCCUGUCCAACGUUAAUCGGGGCAGGGUGAGUCGACCCCUAAGGCGAGGCCGAAAGGCGUAGUCGAUGGGAAACGGGUUAAUAUUCCCGUACUUGGUGUUACUGCGAAGGGGGGACGGAGAAGGCUAUGUUGGCCGGGCGACGGUUGUCCCGGUUUAAGCGUGUAGGCUGGUUUUCCAGGCAAAUCCGGAAAAUCAAGGCUGAGGCGUGACGACGAGGCACCACGGUGCUGAAGCAACAAAUGCCCUGCUUCCAGGAAAAGCCUCUAAGCAUCAGGUAACACGAAAUCGUACCCCAAACCGACACAGGUGGUCAGGUAGAGAAUACCAAGGCGCUUGAGAGAACUCGGGUGAAGGAACUAGGCAAAAUGGUGCCGUAACUUCGGGAGAAGGCACGCUGACACGUAGGUGAAGUGAUUUACUCAUGGAGCUGAAGUCAGUCGAAGAUACCAGCUGGCUGCAACUGUUUAUUAAAAACACAGCACUGUGCAAACACGAAAGUGGACGUAUACGGUGUGACGCCUGCCCGGUGCCGGAAGGUUAAUUGAUGGGGUUAUCCUCGCGGAGAAGCUCCUGAUCGAAGCCCCGGUAAACGGCGGCCGUAACUAUAACGGUCCUAAGGUAGCGAAAUUCCUUGUCGGGUAAGUUCCGACCUGCACGAAUGGCGUAAUGAUGGCCAGGCUGUCUCCACCCGAGACUCAGUGAAAUUGAACUCGCUGUGAAGAUGCAGUGUACCCGCGGCAAGACGGAAAGACCCCGUGAACCUUUACUAUAGCUUGACACUGAACAUUGAGCCUUGAUGUGUAGGAUAGGUGGGAGGCUUUGAAGCGUGGACGCCAGUCUGCGUGGAGCCAACCUUGAAAUACCACCCUUUAAUGUUUGAUGUUCUAACGUGGACCCGUUACCCGGGUUGCGGACAGUGUCUGGUGGGUAGUUUGACUGGGGCGGUCUCCUCCCAAAGAGUAACGGAGGAGCACGAAGGUUGGCUAAUCCUGGUCGGACAUCAGGAGGUUAGUGCAAUGGCAUAAGCCAGCUUGACUGCGAGCGUGACGGCGCGAGCAGGUGCGAAAGCAGGUCAUAGUGAUCCGGUGGUUCUGAAUGGAAGGGCCAUCGCUCAACGGAUAAAAGGUACUCCGGGGAUAACAGGCUGAUACCGCCCAAGAGUUCAUAUCGACGGCGGUGUUUGGCACCUCGAUGUCGGCUCAUCACAUCCUGGGGCUGAAGUAGGUCCCAAGGGUAUGGCUGUUCGCCAUUUAAAGUGGUACGCGAGCUGGGUUUAGAACGUCGUGAGACAGUUCGGUCCCUAUCUGCCGUGGGCGCUGGAGAACUGAGGGGGGCUGCUCCUAGUACGAGAGGACCGGAGUGGACGCAUCACUGGUGUUCGGGUUGUCAUGCCAAUGGCACUGCCCGGUAGCUAAAUGCGGAAGAGAUAAGUGCUGAAAGCAUCUAAGCACGAAACUUGCCCCGAGAUGAGUUCUCCCUGAGACCUUGAGUCUCCUGAAGGAACGUUGAAGACGACGACGUUGAUAGGCCGGGUGUGUAAGCGCAGCGAUGCGUUGAGCUAACCGGUACUAAUGAACCGUGAGGCUUAACCUU
rnacentral:rRNA from 1 species